CAUUUUUAGAAGGUACACACUAUACAUUUUUAAACAGUGAUUUAUUUUGAAAACCUUGCUGCCAUUAUAGGUUUUCCCUUCUAGGGGAAGAAUAGUAUGGUAGAUCUCAAAUCAAUGAAGGCGACACUCAAAGAUCUCUAGACUUCUGGAAUAUGAUGCUCAAACAGUUCCACUUUUUUCUACUGCCUGUCCCUCCCUUCUCGUAUUUAUCUCCAGACUUCUCCUUGUCCAGAUCUAUUCCACCUCCAACAAUCUUCUAUUCAUUGAACUUUUUGAAAUGUUGCACUUUCAGAGAGACGUAAGGGAUUGACUGUGUAUACAAAUUUGCAGAGAGACAAUAGAGUUGAGGCCUGUUAUUUCUUACGUCUAUUUAUUUUAAAACAUUUU